GUGUUCACUCCAGCAACACAUAUUCUACAACUACAACAAUACAGAGAAGACUGGUGUGUCCCCUACACAAGAAUGACACUCAAUAUGCAAAGUGUUCUAUAGUUCU